rnacentral:rRNA from 1 species
AGCGAACGCUGGCGGCGUGCUUUAACACAUGCAAGUCGAGUGCGCAGUUUUCCUGUAGCAAUACAGGGGAAUGGGCGCACGGCGCACGGGUGAGUAACACGUGGACAACCUGCCCUACAAUGGGGGAUAACCCGCCGAAAGGCGGGCUAAUACCGCAUGACAUUACAGUGGCUUCGGCCGCUGGAAUCAAAGGCCGCAAGGCCGUUGGAGGAGGGGCCCGCGCCCGAUUAGCUAGUUGGUGAGGUAACGGCUCACCAAGGCAUUGAUCGGUAGCCGGUCUGAGAGGAUGGCCGGCCACGCUGGAACUGAGACACGGUCCAGACUCCUACGGGAGGCAGCAGUGGGGAAUCUUGCGCAAUGGGCGAAAAGCCUGACGCAGCGACGCCGCGUGGGGGAUGAAGCAUCUCGGUGUGUAAACCCCUUUCGACCCGGAAGAAUGUCCCCGCAAGGGAUUGACGGUACGGGUAUAAGAAGCCCCGGCUAACUACGUGCCAGCCGCCGCCGUAAU